rnacentral:piRNA from 1 species
GACCUGAGAACUUACCUUGUUGUGGGGGUC